CCAGGAUAAAAGGGCUCUGGGCCAGAGCACCCCAUCCACUCACCUCCUGAGGUGCUGAAGAACCCCGUGCUGCCUGUGAUCCUGCUCCUGAACACUCGCUGCCAAGAUGUCCUGCCAGCAGAGCCAGCAGCAGUGCCAGCCCCCUCCCAAGUGCACCCCCAAGUGUCCUCCUAAAUGCCCCCCAAAGUGUCCCCCUAAGUGCCCUCCAGUGUCUUCCUGCUGCAGUGUCAGCUCUGGGGGCUGCUGUGGCUCCAGCUCUGGGGGCUGCUGCAGUUCUGGGGGAGGUGGCUGCUGCCUGAGCCACCACAGGCGCCGCAGGUCCCACCGCCACAGGCCCCAGAGCUCUGACUGCUGCAGCCAGCCCUCAGGGGGCUCCAGCUGCUGCGGAGGGGGCUCCAGCUGCUGCGGAGGGGGCAGUGGCCAGCACUCUGGAGGCUGCUGUUGAACUGGAUCCUGAGCCUAAAAGAGCACAUUUCAAGCCAUGAAAGGGGCAACUUCAUCUUCCUUGGGCUCGGCUGUGUUGCUGGGACAUUUUAGAAAGACUUCAAACUCUGUCCUGGACGAUUCCUCUGACCUAGAAUCCAGAAAUCUGUCCUCUCACAAAAAUCCAUCUUCUGACCUCUGAUUCCAUCUGUGCACCUGGCCUGGGAACACCCAAUAGAAGGCCUUGCCUCAUUCCCCUGAUUUCCUUGGCAAUCCCCAUUGUGCAUGAAACAAUAAAACAAAUGAUCCGCUCAUCAA